rnacentral:rRNA from 1 species
GACGAACGCUGGCGGCGUGCCUAAUACAUGCAAGUCGAACGCUUCUUUUUCCACCGGAGCUUGCUCCACCGGAAAAAGAGGAGUGGCGAACGGGUGAGUAACACGUGGGUAACCUGCCCAUCAGAAGGGGAUAACACUUGGAAACAGGUGCUAAUACCGUAUAACAAUCGAAACCGCAUGGGUUUGAUUUGAGAGGCGCUUUCGGUUGUCGCUGAUGGAUGGACCCGCGGUGCAUUAGCUAGUUGGUGAGGUAACGGCUCACCAAGGCCACGAUGCAUAGCCGACCUGAGAGGGUAAUCGGCCACAUGGGGACUGAGACACGGCCCAAACUCCUACGGGAGGCAGCAGUAGGGAAUCUUCGGCAAUGGACAAAGUCUGACCGAGCAACGCCGCGUGAGUGAAGAAGGUUUUCGGAUCGUAAAACUCUGUUGUUAGAGAAGAACAAGGAUGAGAGUAACUGUUCAUCCCUUGACGGUAUCUAACCAGAAAGCCACGGCUAACUACGUGCCAGCCGCCGCAGUAA